GAUGAAGAACGUAGCGAAAUGCGAUAAGUAAUGUGAAUUGCAGAAUUCAGUGAAUCAUCGAAUCUUUGAACGCACCUUGCACCCUUUGGCAUUCCGAAGGGUAUGCUCGUUUGAGUGUCAUUGUACUCUCACACUCUCCGAUCCUAUGGAUUCGGGGAGCGGUGGACUUGGGUGUUGCUGCCUUUCCUUGUGGCUCACCUCAAAUGUGUCAGUGCACCCCUUGGUUGGACAUAGUACGGCGUGAUAAGUGUCUUCGCCGGCACCUCGCAAGAGGGUGGCCGAUCGGGAGCUCUGUGCUUUCAAACCGUCUUCGGACAAUUUCUGACAACUUGACCUCAAAUCGAGUAGGACUACCCGCUGAACUUAAGCAUAUCAAUAAGCGGAGGA
rnacentral:misc_RNA from 1 species